CGGCCUCUGACACCCUGUCAGGGGUCGGUGCUGGGUGCAGCCGGCAUGGGUGGGAGGCUGGUUCACACUCGAGCCUGGCCAUGCUGGCGUGCUGGAGUUCCCCACGGUUUGGCGUUUGACGGAAUUUCUGCUCCCCCCUUCCUGGCUCUUUGCAGAGAGAACACACUUUGUUGUGUGCAUAUGUUGGCCUUCCCAUGGCACCAGCUUCUUCAGCUCUGUGUCUGGGACCUGUGAGGCUAAGAGAAUGCCCAGGGGUCCCCGCCGACUGGCUCCUUGGGCUGGGCGCAGCCCUUCUGUCGUUGUACCUUUGUUUAGUGCAUCCAAGCUUUUCAGCUGCCCUUAGCAGGAGGAACAGGGAAAGUACGUGGACCUGGAGUGGAGACCAUGGCCAUUCACUUCUACAGGAGGGAGAGCGGACUCAGGAUUGGUGAGAACUGGACGUCUUGAAAGUGGCGAAUGGCUUGGCUGGCAGAUUGCGGCCUAGAAGAGGCAAGACUGGGAACCUGGGACAAAGCGGCACCAGCUGCAGGGACCACGAGGACCCAGGUCACUGCCAGAUAAGGGACCACGUGUGGACCCAGGGCUCCCUGUGGCCUCGUUCGCUGCUCCGUGUCUAGUGCAGAUGCUGUGGGGCCUGCUGGCCUCGGAGGGCUCUGACCUGAGCGGAGCUGGUGCAGGCAGAAGGGAAGCUGACGGGACCAGUGCUGGCUCUGUCAACACCUCCGACUCCAGGUUGUCCUCUGCUUUCACAGGUGACCUUGAGUGACCGCUGGGGGCUCCGACUCAGUGGCUGGGGCUUGUGAGGCCAGGACCUGUGCCACCCGCUCACCCUGUGCCACCCACCUUGGGGAGAUGGGGCGCGGGGGCUGACGCCCUGCAGAUGCAGGCUGACGGGGCUCCUCAGAAGGGCCUCUGGGACCUCGCACAGCCACCGCCAUGGUGGGCCAGGCUGUAAGGCGCCGUCCGUCCUCUCUUCCACCCCUGCGCCAGGCGCCCGUGCUCCCAGCUCCUUGCGGGGUGUGAGGCCGAGCGAAGGCCCCGGCUCUGCCACUGCAGAUUCCACAGCUGCUCCUGGCGCAGACGCUGGUGGUUUCGGACUUGGGAUUUCAGAGGCUGGCGUGAGGAGGGAGCCAGGCGUCGCUGGCAGCUACCUUGCUCUGCAGCCAGGGAAUGCCGCAGCUGGAUGCGCAUCGCAUUGCGAGAGACGGGGGUACUGAGAACCUACCGCAGAAGGCGUCUCAGAAUCAGAGUUCCUCCCAGGCAGCCAGCGCCGGGUUGCACGGUGUUCCCACUCUCACAGCAACAGCAUUUGGGAAGCUGGAGACCCUGCUCCCCCAGCCAACCCAGUGCCCAGCCCUGUCCCCUGGCUCCCCGUGCCCCUGGGUCUCAGAGGGAGCCUGGGCCACAGCCCUCACCUCGGUGUCACCCCAGAUGCCAUGCUGGAACUGCCAGCCUUGGCAUGGGGACCUGUCUUUGGGGUAUGAUGCAUCCCGACUUCUUUGGGGUUGCACAGCCUCUCAUUUUCCACAGGUGAUCGAGUGCUGAUGUUGUUAAGGCCCACAAAUGGAUAGGGUGCAGAGACCAAGCCACCCCCUGAGACGUCAGAGGGGACACAAGAGAAUGGGGUGCACAGGCCUGGCCUUGAGGUCACGCCCUCCCCCUGACACUCCCUGUGCAGGAGCCACAGGACUUGCCUAGUGGGGUACAGGGGACGCCUGCUCCAGACCACCCUUGACUCCAGGGGAGAGGGACAGCGGCCCCAUAGUCAUUUCAGGGACAGACACAGAGACCAGGAGGACUGGACGAGUGAGAGGAAGGAUGCCGAGUGAGAAGAGGCAUCAGAGAAAGAGGAGGGGAUGGCCUGUCUCCAAGGAGAAGCCUCCACGGCAGCGAGGCGGGCAGUCACCAGGGGGAGAAGGACAGAGAGGGCUGCAUCUCGGGCUCCUGCUCAGCCCAGCCCUGGAGGCCAUGGCAGCGGGGUGCAGAAGCAGCAGGCCUGGUCUCAGCCCCAUGUUUGUCUGCUUGUGUGGGAGGGCCGGGUGAACCCAUCCUGAGAGUGCUCUGCCUGGCGUUAGCAGACCCCUGCCCGUGUGGCCCCUCCUGUCUCCCUCCCUAUUGCCCGAUGGAGCCCUCUUCCUCCUGGCCUCUCAUUUUAUGACUCAGAAACGAGGAAGUCCAGAAAUAACCAACUGUAUUUUCUUAGACUCUGAAGAGAUCUUGUUUGUAGAGAAACUCUUUAAUUUAGGAUUUUCACUUGAAUCUACAUGGUGUGGGCCCUUUCGCCCUCGAUCCCCUGAAAGUCUAGCCUUGGAGACGGCCUGCCUUAUGCUGUAAUCCUUGAGAGUUUUAUGUG